rnacentral:rRNA from 1 species
CCUACGGGUGGCAGCAGUGGGGAAUAUUGCACAAUGGGCGCAAGCCUGAUGCAGCCAUGCCGCGUGUGUGAAGAAGGCCUUCGGGUUGUAAAGCACUUUCAGCGGGGAGGAAGGCGUUAAGGUUAAUAACCUUGUCGAUUGACGUUACCCGCAGAAGAAGCACCGGCUAACUCCGUGCCAGCAGCCGCGGUAAUACGGAGGGUGCAAGCGUUAAUCGGAAUUACUGGGCGUAAAGCGCACGCAGGCGGUCUGUCAAGUCGGAUGUGAAAUCCCCGGGCUCAACCUGGGAACUGCAUUCGAAACUGGCAGGCUAGAGUCUUGUAGAGGGGGGUAGAAUUCCAGGGGUAGCGGUGAAAUGCGUAGAGAUCUGGAGGAAUACCGGUGGCGAAGGCGGCCCCCUGGACAAAGGCUUACGCUUAGGUGCGAAAGCGUGGGGAGCAAACAGGAUUAGAUACCCGGUGUAGUC